GCAACAGAAUUUACGUACGGUUCCUUCUCGUCGGAUCUUAAGAGCUGCUAUUCGAGCUCGAUAAAUUCGCAAUCGAUCCGCCCGACUCUGUAAUACGUACGUUCACCUUCACUCCAAGUGAAAACCAGACCACCGCAACAGUGCAGUACAUUCAGAUCAUGUCACUUGACUUCAACCCGUUCUACGCGCAAAUCGUUAACGGCGGUAUAGGAGCAACAUCUCCUGUGUCAACGGAUAUUGUCGUUUCAUCGGUCAUCCGAAGAUUGCUGAAUGUGUCCGUUCGAAUCUAUUGCGAUGGGCUGUAGGAAGGUAAUAGGAUACUGUUGCAAGUCUGAAACUUUCAGAAAACUAAAAUCAAAAUACAGUCCGAAAGGUAAAUCGUUCAGCAAAUCAAUAAAACAAAAGGAUUUUCUCCAUAA